AGGCUAAUGAUGAUAAUUUAAAAUAGUCUUAGCGGAUUUCAGUGAGAUAUUAUCUCUAUGAUCUGAUUGUUACACACACUGGGGCCU
rfam:Gossypium arboreum cultivar AKA8401 contig_12046_5, whole genome shotgun sequence.